UCGCUCUGUCACCCAGGCUGAAGUGCAGCGGCAUGAUCACGGCUCUCUGCAGCCUCGACCUCCCAGGCUCAAGGCAUUUUCCCGCCUUGGCUUCCCAAGUAGCUGGGACUACAGGUGUACGCCACCAUGCCUGGCUAAUUUUAUAUAGACAGGGUUUUGCUGUGUUGUCCAGGCUGGUCUCUAACUUCUGGGCUCAUGUGAUCCUUCCGCCUUGGUCUCCCAAAGUGCGGAGAUUACAAGUGUAAGCUACCGUGCCUGGCCAAAUUGUACACUUCAAAUGAGUGAACUGUGUGGUAUGUGAACUAUAUUCCAAUAAAGCUGUUACAG
rnacentral:lncRNA from 10 species